CCUACGGGAUGCAGCAGUGAGGAAUAUUGGUCAAUGGACGAGAGUCUGAACCAGCCAAGUAGCGUGAAGGAUGACUGCCCGAUGGGUUGUAAACUUCUUUUAUAUGGGAAUAAAAUGUUCCACGUGUGGGAUUUUGUAUGUACCAUAUGAAUAAGGAUCGGCUAACUCCGUGCCAGCAGCCGCGGUAAUACGGAGGAUCCGAGCUUUGUCCGGAUUUAUUGGGUUUAAAGGGAGCGUAGGUGGAUUGUUAAGUCAGUUGUGAAAGUGUGCGGCUCAACCGUAAAAUUGCAGUUGAAACUGGCAGUCGUGAGUACAGUAGAGGUGGGCGGAAUUCGUGGUGUAGCGGGGAAAGGCUGAGAUAUCACGAAGAACUCCGAUUGCGAAGGCAGCUCACUGGACUGCAACUGACACUGAGGCUCGAAAGUGUGGGUAUCAAACAGGAUUAGAUACCCUAGUAGUC
rnacentral:rRNA from 1 species